rnacentral:ncRNA from 1 species
GAUGGCUCGGUGAGGCCUCCGGACUGGCUCAGGAGGGUUGGCAACGACCCCCCAGAGCCGGAAAGCUGGUCAAACCCGGUCAUUUAGAGGAAGUAAAAGUCGUAACAAGGUUUCCGUAGGUGAACCUGCGGAAGGAUCAUUACCGAGUGAGGGUUUCUCUGAAGCCCAACCUCCCACCCGUGUAUACCGUACCCUGUUGCUUCGGCGGGCCCGCCUCACGGCCGCCGGGGGACCUCGCGUCCCCGGGCCCGCGCCCGCCGAAGACCCCAACACGAACACUGUCUGAAAAGUGCAGUCUGAGUCGAUUGUUACCAAUCAGUCAAAACUUUCAACAAUGGAUCUCUUGGUUCCGGCAUCGAUGAAGAACGCAGCGAAAUGCGAUAACUAAUGUGAAUUGCAGAAUUCAGUGAAUCAUCGAGUCUUUGAACGCACAUUGCGCCCCCUGGUAUUCCGGGGGGCAUGCCUGUCCGAGCGUCAUUGCUGCCCUCAAGCACGGCUUGUGUGUUGGGCCCCGUCCCCGGUACCCCCGGGGACGGGCCCGAAAGGCAGCGGCGGCACCGCGUCCGGUCCUCGAGCGUAUGGGGCUUUGUCACCCGCUCUGCAGGCCCGGCCGGCGCCAGCCGACCAACCCAACCAUUUUUUACAGGUUGACCUCGGAUCAGGUAGGGAUACCCGCUGAACUUAAGCAUAUCAAUAAGCGGAGGAAAAGAAACCAACCGGGAUUGCCUCAGUAACGGCGAGUGAAGCGGCAAGAGCUCAAAUUUGAAAGCUGGCUCCUUCGGGGUCCGCAUUGUAAUUUGCAGAGGAUGCUUCGGGUGCGGCCCCUGUCUAAGUGCCCUGGAACGGGCUGUCAGAGAGGGUGAGAAUCCCGUCUGG